rnacentral:rRNA from 1 species
GACGAACGCUGGCGGCGUGCUUAACACAUGCAAGUCGAACGGAAAGGCCCUGCUUUUGUGGGGUGCUCGAGUGGCGAACGGGUGAGUAACACGUGAGUAACCUGCCCUUGACUUUGGGAUAACUUCAGGAAACUGGGGCUAAUACCGGAUAGGAGCUCCUGCUGCAUGGUGGGGGUUGGAAAGUUUCGGCGGUUGGGGAUGGACUCGCGGCUUAUCAGCUUGUUGGUGGGGUAGUGGCUUACCAAGGCUUUGACGGGUAGCCGGCCUGAGAGGGUGACCGGGCACAUUAGGACUGAGAUACGGCCCAGACUCCUACGGGAGGCAGCAGUGGGGAAUAUGGCACAAUGAGCGGAAGCCUGAUGCAGCAACGCCGCGUGCGGGAUGACGGCCUUCGGGGUGUAAACCGCUUUCGCCUGUGACGAAGCGUGAGUGACGGUAAUGGGUAAAGAAGCACCGGCUAACUACGUG